GUGAAUCAUCAAAUCUUUGAACGCAAAUUGCACUCCCUGGUAUUCCUUGGAGUAUGCCUGCUUGAGUAUCGUUAAAUUAAAAAUCGAGGCCUCUCUCUUUUUUUGUUGAUGAUUUCGUUGGAAUUGAGCGGUCUUUCAAAUGUUAAUUCUUUUCAAAUUUUCUUAAAAUUCAUCCAUCCUCUACAAUUAAAUCGU
rnacentral:misc_RNA from 1 species